UAUCUGAUACACCUGAUAAAAAAGACAUAAAUAAUAAAUUUAGAAGAAAAACAAAAAAAAAAAAAAAAAACUAAUCUAAUUAUAAAAUAUUAUAAAUAAACUAAUCUAUAUUAAUUAUAAAUAAACUAAUCUAUAUUAAUAUAUACUAAUCUAUAUAAAACUAAUCUAUAAAAUAAAAAUAAAAAACUAUCUAAAAAUAUUUUAAAUAACAAUUUGGUAAGAUACAAUCUAUAUGCAUUAAAAACCAAAUAGAGAAAAAAAAAAUUUAUUAAUAACAAACAAAAAGAAUAAAGCUUAUAUCUCAACACCACCUGCCAGCUAACACCAAUAUAAAAUAUAGAAGAUGUAAAUUAAAUUCAGUGAACAUCAAGAAACAUUUAGAAAGCAUUAAUAAAUAUAAUCAAAAUUCAAAAGACAAAACAACAGAACAACUACACUACGUCUGAUUUCCUGCCUCAUCACUCUUUCCACUCACAUGAGGUGCCACUGAAGCUUUUGGAAACUUCAACAGCAAAGGGCUCAGCUCUUCCAUAGCUGUUACCUUAUGACGUGUUCCAUUAGUUGUCUUGAUAACUAUGAUUCCAUCCUGGGUCCAGCAGGAUCGCAUUCCGAAGUGAGCUCUUGCCUUGAUAAAUAUGGACUGCCUGGGCUUUGUCAAAAACUCCUUCAAUGAAAUUGAACAACCCUUUAGGUUAGACUUUGCUCUCCAAACAUUGGAUUUAAUGUUUUCAUUAGUGAACCUCACAAGAAUGGGCCUGUUAUGCUCCCGACUUCGCGCACCAAGUCUGUGGCAUACUUUUAUGGAUGAAGAAGACACAUUUUUCAAGGCCAGCUUAUUAUUUAGCACAUUUAAGAUGACCGAAGUGCAAUCCUCUCCGUCAACCUCAGUACAUCCCUGGAAAAGCAAAGUCUUGCGUCGCUGCCGAGUCUCCAGACUAUCAAUCUGCUUCAUGCACUCUCCGAUUUGUGUCCGGAGCAGCCCAAGUAUGCUAAAGACCAACUCUCUGAACGUACGGAACUCUUCAGCAACUUUAUUUACAGUUUCCUUUGCAGGUCCUGCAGACUGAAUCUGUAUUUCAAGCUCACCCAUCUUCCGUGUGAAGUUUUCUUCUAAGUUCUUUUGAAUAGUUAAUAUUUCAGCAAGUUGAGACAUGAUGGGCUUGAGUGUGAGGAACAAGAUGUCACUUAAAUGGUUGAAGGUGUGCUGGCUGGCGCUUUGCAGCUUUAUUUAUGACACAUAAGCUGCUGCAAACGUUAGUACCAAAUCACAAAUACUUGUGUACAAACUGGAUGUUAAAAAAUAUUGAUAAAAGAUUAUGUUUCUAAUUUUCAAUAAAAUUUUAUGUUUAAAA